rnacentral:tRNA from 1 species
ACCUUAUUAAUGGAUAGGUCAGUUGGUUAGAGCAUGGUGCUGAUAAUGUCAAGGUUGCAGGUUUGAUCCCUGUAUGGGACA